rnacentral:rRNA from 1 species
AACGAACGCUGGCGGCAGGCUUAACACAUGCAAGUCGAACGAGAUCUUCGGAUCUAGUGGCAGACGGGUGAGGAACACGUGGGAACAUCCCUUUCAGUUCGGAAUAACGUUGGGAAACUAACGCUAAUACCGGAUACGUCCUUCGGGAGAAAGAUUUAUCGCUGAAAGAUUGGCCCGCGUCUGAGUAGCUAGUUGGUGAGGUAACGGCUCACCAAGGCUACGAUCAGUAGCUGAUCUGAGAGAAUGAUCAGCCACAUUGGGACUGAGACACGGCCCAAACUACUACGGUAGGCAGAAGUGGGGAAUAUUGGACAAUGGGCGCAAGCCUGAUCCAGCCAUGCCGCGUGGGUGAUGACGGCCUUCGGGUUGUAACGCUCUUUUGUCCGGGAAGAUAAUGACUGUACCGGAAGAAUAAGCCCCCGGCAAACUUCGUGCCAGCAGCCGCCGUAAUAC